UACGGAGGGUGCAAGCGUUAUCCGGAUUUACUGGGUUUAAAGGGUCCGUAGGCGGUUUGGUAAGUCAGUGGUGAAAGCCCAUCGCUCAACGGUGGAACGGCCAUUGAUACUGCCAGACUUGAAUUAUUAGGAAGUAACUAGAAUAUGUAGUGUAGCGGUGAAAUGCUUAGAGAUUACAUGGAAUACCAAUUGCGAAGGCA
rnacentral:rRNA from 1 species